rnacentral:lncRNA from 1 species
UUAUCCCUCAAAUCAUCCAGCUCCUUACGAACCUGGAUAGGAGCACACCGAGCAGCAUUGUCAGCACGCAUCGCAUAUGAGAGAGAGAGAAAAUCUGAAAAAAGAUGAAGAGCUACAAGGUAACAGAGACCCACCUCAACUAGCCUGGCUUUACUGGCCUUGUCCUUCUCCUUCUCAAGUGCAUGCAAUUCAACUUCAAGCUGAAUCCUUUUCCUCUCCAGGUUAUCGAUCUCCUCUGGCUGGCUAUCAAGCUGCACCCUCACGUUCGCACAAGCCUCAUCGACCAAGUCAAUUGCCUUGUCCGGAAGAUGUCGGCCUUGAAGAAACAAAAAGAAAACAAUCUCAG